rnacentral:misc_RNA from 1 species
AACGCACAUUGCGCCCUCUGGUAUUCCGGAGGGCAUGCCUGUUCGAGCGUCAUUAUAACCAAUCAAGCCCGGCUUGGUGUUGGGGCUCGCUGUAUCAGUGGCCCUUAAAAUCAGUGGCGGCGCCAUCCGGCUUCACGCGUAGUAGUUACACCUCGCGACGGAGUCUGGUAGAUGUUUGCCAUCAACCCCAACUUCUCAAGGUUGACCUCGGAUCAGGUAGGGAUACCCGCUGAACUUAA